rnacentral:lncRNA from 1 species
AGGUGGGGUGGCCGGGUAGGGCCGGACAGGGAGGCAGAGAGGCGGCCCCGGGCCUCGGAGCAGGGAGACGGGGCGGGCGGUGGGGCCGGGCCUCCGCGCUCGGGGCGUGCCGGGCAGCGGGCGGGCUGCUCGCACGGCAGCUCCCUGGCAGCUGCCGGCCGCUGUGUGCUCCGCUGCGGAGGGGCUAAAUGCCGGGUAUCGGGAUCAGUGCUGCGGCCCCGUGCCUCUCCUGCCCUGCCUGCACAGCUCCUGCCCGCUGCGAGGUGCAGUAAUUGCUGCGAGCUCCGUGCCUGCCGCAGCACAGUGCAUGGAUCCUUCUGCAUGGACCAUCCAGAUUCCUCAUCUGGUUGCUUACUAUGGCGCAGGCAUCUCAGUCUGUCUUGUUCUACGUUUUUCUUUGGGUCAUCCUUCUUUUCUCAAGGAGGGGGCACAGAGAACAAGUUUCUGCGGUCACAAGUUGGCACUGAGCUUCAAGAGGCUCUUCUCCAUGUUGCUUCUUCAGAUGUCUGUGGAAACUUACUGGUUUCUAUUUUCUCAAUAAAUCUGUGUUAUUUGAAUAAUACUCUGUGUUUAUUUUAGUAAUAAGUAGUAAUUUUAAUGAUGGGUUUUAAGGCAAGUUGCCAUAAUUUCAAAUUUAAAUAAGUUUGGUUUUGAUGUAAGCACAUCAGAAAAUGUGCUUAAUUACUGUUCAAGUAAAAUUUUAUUUAAAUGUCAAAGUUGUAAGUUUUAUUUUUCCUGGACUAAGGUUCAGCUAACUAUAUUUUUAGCUCAGUUGAGUACUGCAGGUCACAAAACCAGUGUGCUCAGGAUCAUUUACUACAGUGUUUGCCAUUUUUCCCAUGAAUGGGCUUGCCAAAGUAUGAUUUGUAGGAAUUAGAGAAUUCAGAGAGGAAAUUGACUGUCCCUUACUUCUGCUGCUUCCUCCAGUAUGCUUGCAUGUCACUCUCUGCUCUGACCUGUGCAGAGAAAUCUAUUCUUUUCCUCUUCUGAUAUCCACUGGUACUCACCCUUGGAACGGGUCCUGGAAGCUGAUGCUUCUGCAGCCUGUUUUAUAGGAACAAGACUGAAGUUCACAUUGGGUUUAUUUGCCUCAAAAUGCCCUCCUUCCCUUCAGGAUUUCUGUAAACACUAAUAGAUUUGAAUAGUAGAGUUCAGGACACCUGUGCUUACACCUUUUCCAAAUGAAUCUCUUUCUUUUUCUGUAUUAAUUCCAAAUGAAUUCACUGGGGUAGCUCACACUAGGGUUCCUGGCAAUCAACACUGGCUGAUAGAGCAAAGUCUGUCUCUUCGCAUGGUAGAGUUCCUCCAAUUGCUGCUAAAGACUGAAUAUAAGGCUACAAUCACUGUUCAGUUUUUGUUGUCAGUUGCUAAGAGAGCUGUAUUUAUACCUAGUGGGAAAGGACACCCUGUUAGGUUCCAACAAAAACGUUAGAAAUUCUUGAAGAUUACUGGUUUUAUGCAGGCUAAAGAAAUACUGCUGGUUCCACUUAUAAAUGUACCAUGUCCUCUAUGCAUGGCGCAACAGCUGCAUUGCAUACAGAAGUAUGUGUUUGUGUAGUUUAAAAAUAAUAUUAAAUUA